rnacentral:tRNA from 1 species
AAAAAUUUAGUUAAAUCAUAACAUCAAUUUGUCAAAUUGAAAUUAAUAUAAUUAUUAAUUUUUU